UGACCAUUAGGAUGCCUCCAGUACAUAUCAACUGGGAUCGACCCAUGCUAGGCUUAUGCCCCUGGGAUACCACCCAUAAACACAUAAAUAGGGAUCGACCCAUGCUAGGCUUAUGCCCCUGGGAUACCACCCGAUAAGAAAGAACUCCCAUCACUUAGUUCAAUUAAUCUUUGAGAUUGUUAUUUCGGUCGCCACCACAUUUUUGAUACUUUGAAACAAUGAUAC
rnacentral:lncRNA from 1 species